CGGGAUGUGGCUCAGUCUGGUAGAGCACAGCGUUCGGGACGCUGGGGUCGGAAGUUCGAAUCUUCUCAUCCCGA
rnacentral:tRNA from 1 species